UUUCUCUUGGCAAGCUGGGGUGUUUAGUCAAGCAUAGGUAUAAGAAAUGAAGUAUUUCUGGUCUAACUGGCUUCCACUAGCUAGAGACCACUUAUUCCACGGACUGUAGCCUACCUACCUGCUUCGAUCCCUCUGUGAAUUCUUCGAUUUUGAAUUCCUUGUCAAAAUAGACCCGAAUCAAAAAAUAGUAUAUUCGGGUUCGAAACCAUAUGAAAGGGUUGGGGAUGCCAACCACAACCACCUUCUGGUUUUGUUUACCUCCACCUCGAUCAGAGCUGUAAGGUCGGACUGUGGACACGACACCAACGGACAAAGUUGGAGCCAGGCGAGUAGUCUUGUUGGACUGGGGCUGCACAACGUGAUCAGGUUUCAAGAAACGAAUCAAUACUGAAGGCGUCCUGCUACAGUAGCAACCUCUUAACAUGGGCAGCGCCAUCUUUUCCUCCCACAGCAACUCGGUCCUUUAGUCUGCAUCGUCCGACAGAAAACAUGGUGUUUUCCAGACAAGGGUGGAAUAGACUGCUUCCAAAUUGAGAUACCAACGGACCAAACGGCUUCUCAACAGCUUUUACCCCCAAGCCAUAAGACUCCUGAACAGGACCUGAGCCCUUGGACCAUGCCUCAGGACUACCUGGCCUGAUGACUCC